GCAGUCGAACGAUGAAGCCCUUCGGGGUGGAUUAGUGGCGAACGGGUGAGUAACACGUGGGCAAUCUGCCCUGCACUCUGGGACAAGCCCUGGAAACGGGGUCUAAUACCGGAUACGAGCCUCCCGGGCAUCUGGGAGGUUGGAAAGCUCCGGCGGUGCAGGAUGAGCCCGCGGCCUAUCAGCUUGUUGGUGAGGUAACGGCUCACCAAGGCGACGACGGGUAGCCGGCCUGAGAGGGCGACCGGCCACACUGGGACUGAGACACGGCCCAGACUCCUACGGGAGGCAGCAGUGGGGAAUAUUGCACAAUGGGCGAAAGCCUGAUGCAGCGACGCCGCGUGAGGGAUGACGGCCUUCGGGUUGUAAACCUCUUUCAGCAGGGAAGAAGCGAAAGUGACGGUACCUGCAGAAGAAGCGCCGGCUAACUACGUGCCAGCAGCCGCGGUAAUACGUAGGGCGCAAGCGUUGUCCGGAAUUAUUGGGCGUAAAGAGCUCGUAGGCGGCUUGUCGCGUCGAUUGUGAAAGCCCGGGGCUUAACUCCGGGUCUGCAGUCGAUACGGGCAGGCUAGAGUGUGGUAGGGGAGAUCGGAAUUCCUGGUGUAGCGGUGAAAUGCGCAGAUAUCAGGAGGAACACCGGUGGCGAAGGCGGAUCUCUGGGCCAUUACUGACGCUGAGGAGCGAAAGCGUGGGGAGCGAACAGGAUUAGAUACCCUGGUAGUCCACGCCGUAAACGGUGGGCACUAGGUGUUGGCGACAUUCCACGUCGUCGGUGCCGCAGCUAACGCAUUAAGUGCCCCGCCUGGGGAGUACGGCCGCAAGGCUAAAACUCAAAGGAAUUGACGGGGGCCCGCACAAGCGGCGGAGCAUGUGGCUUAAUUCGACGCAACGCGAAGAACCUUACCAAGGCUUGACAUACACCGGAAACAUCCAGAGAUGGGUGCCCCCUUGUGGUCGGUGUACAGGUGGUGCAUGGCUGUCGUCAGCU
rnacentral:rRNA from 1 species